rnacentral:rRNA from 1 species
CCUACGGGGAGCAGCAGUGGGGAAUAUUGCACAAUGGGGGAAACCCUGAUGCAGCGACGCCGCGUGAGUGAAGAAGUAAUUCGUUAUGUAAAGCUCUAUCAGCAGGGAAGAAAAUGACGGUACCUGAGUAAGAAGCCCCGGCUAACUACGUGCCAGCAGCCGCGGUAAUACGUAGGGGGCAAGCGUUAUCCGGAUUUACUGGGUGUAAAGGGAGCGUAGACGGCAGUGCAAGUCUGGAGUGAAAGGCGGGGGCUCAACCCCCGGACUGCUCUGGAAACUGUACGGCUGGAGUGCAGGAGAGGUAAGUGGAAUUCCUAGUGUAGCGGUGAAAUGCGUAGAUAUUAGGAGGAACACCAAUAGCGUAGGCAGGUUACUGGGACGGUUCUGACACUAAGGCACGAAAGCGUAGGGAGCAAACGGGAUUAGAUACCCGUGUAGUC